rnacentral:rRNA from 1 species
CCUACGGGAGGCAGCAGUGGGGAAUCUUGCGCAAUGGGCGAAAGCCUGACGCAGCAACGCCGCGUGCGGGAUGAAGGCCUUCGGGUUGUAAACCGCUUUCAGCAGGGAAGAAAUUGACGGUACCUGCAGAAGAAGCCCCGGCCAACUACGUGCCAGCAGCCGCGGUAACACGUAGGGGGCGAGCGUUGUCCGGAUUUAUUGGGCGUAAAGAGCUCGUAGGCGGUUCGGUAAGUCGGGUGUGAAACCUCCAGGCUCAACCUGGAGACGCCACCUGAAACUGCUGUGACUAGAGUCCGGUAGGGGAGUGUGGAACUCCUGGUGUAGCGGUGAAAUGCGCAGAUAUCAGGAAGAACACCAGCGGCGAAGGCGGCACUCUGGGCCGGUACUGACGCUGAGGAGCGAAAGCGUGGGUAGCAAACAGGAUUAGAUACCCUGGUAGUCCACGCCGUAAACGUUGGGCACUAGGUGUGGGUCUCACCAACGAGAUCCGUGCCGCAGCUAACGCAUUAAGUGCCCCGCCUGGGGAGUACGGCCGCAAGGCUAAAACUCAAGGAUUGACGG